rnacentral:rRNA from 1 species
ACUCCUGCGGGAGGCAGCAGUGGGGAAUUUUACGCAAUGGGGGAAACCCUGACGUAGCGACACCGCGUGAGCGAAGAAGCCCUUUGGGGUGUAAAGCUCUGUCAGCUGGAACGAAAACAAUGACGGUACCAGCAGAGGAAGCAUCGGCUAACUACGUGCCAGCAGCCGCGGUAAGACGUAGGAUGCGAGCGUUGUCCGGAUUUAUUGGGCGUAAAGAGUUCGUAGGUGGUUUGUUAAGUUUGGUGUUAAAGAUCGGGGCUCAACCCUGGGACUGCACUGAAUACUGGCAGACUCGAGUGUGGUAGAGGCUAGUGGAAUUCCCAGUGUAGCGGUGAAAUGCGUAGAUAUUGGGAAGAACACCGGUGGCGUAGGCGACUAGCUGGGCCAUAACUGACGCUGAGGAACGAAAGCCAGGGGAGCGAAUGGGAUUAGAAACCCGUGUAGUCCCAUGA